CGAAGCCGAUGAUGGGUCAUGUGCUUCUAUUUUAUCGACAAAAUAUUGUUUUGAUCUAUUGAGAAAGGCUGAAGAAAUUUAUUUGCAUGCAACAUAUAAAAUUCAGCUUAGUGAUAUUAAAAUAUCCCAAAUAUUAAUUUUCUUUUUGAGAAGAAAUAAUAUUGGUAUUCCAUGUGUUUUUGUAUUAUCUGACUCUACAACAAAAUCGUUAUAUGCUAAAAUAUGGGAAAACUUGAUCUUGAGAAUACCAUCGAUCAAAGAAAAUUUAAAACGAGUUGUUACGGACUGUUAUUUACCCUUGACUUUUGCUAUUCUAGAAGCUCUACCACAGACUGACGUUAAAGGGUGUUGGAUGAAUUACAUCAGAAUGGCAGCGAGACAAUGGAAAAGUUUUAAUUUAGAAAAUAUGAGGCAUGAAGUAUUGAAAUGGAGUUUUUUAUUCCAUCAUUACUCCCGGAUCAAUUUAAAAAUGCUAUCAUGGAAAUUAAUGAAACAAUUCGAGAUAAAAAAGAAACUUACAUUGAGCCCGUAACAGACUUAGAAAAGUUUAUGAGUUUCAUUAAAAGGUGGUGGGAACCUGCAGCAACGAUAAUAUCAUUUUCGAAUAGUACCAACGAUUCAAUAAAUAUUUCGGAAUAUUUUGAUCGGCAUAUGGGAAGUGAAUUUGGAUCUUCAACCCCAGACAUUUUUCAAUUUUCAGAUAAGAAUGAUGUUGGAAGAUUGGAUGAAUUUCAUAUCAAUUGAAUAUUUAUGAAAAUAUAAACAUUUCAAAUGAAUUCGCAUUGUUCAUGAUAACAUUUUUUUUUUUGUUUAAUGUUACCUUAAUAUUGUCUGUUUCAUAAAAUGGAGUUAAUUGAGAGCGAUGGCUUUAAGCCAAAUUCAAAAAUAUAUUCCUAUGGCGAUUGGAUCUAUCACAAAUGUCAAGGCACAAGUAACCGUUACUACUGCGCGCAGCAUUCAACUAAAUUUGCCUGUCCAGUCGUACUUAACAAAUACGAUACCGGAGAAAUUGAAAUUGACGAAUCCGAACACAAUCAUAUUCAACCAAAUCGGAAUACGAAAUUGGAAAUAAAAAAAUUAAAAAAAGAAGCAUUAAGUAAUUUACUAGUACAAGAAAUUGUUAAUAAAGUUUUGAAAACUUACAAGAAUCCAACAAUCAAUGUCGCAGCUGCUAGACAAAUAGUUAUUAGAACUAUUGCAGAACAUCAAAAAGAUAGUCCAAGUAAUAUGUUCGAACUGUCUGAAUAUUUACAAAGCAAUGAGUUGUAUUCACAAUUUUUUAUUGGAGAAGCAAUAACUAAAAAUAGAAAAGAGAUUGCUGUAUUUUUAGGAUCAACUAUGCUAAUAAACAAAUUAAAAGUAGCUGCAGAAGUAACUGUCGAUGGAUCAUUUAGAUGCUUGUCAGCAAAUUUAGAAGCUAAUCAGCUUUUAACGUUUCAUUUACACGAAGGAAAUAAUGGAAUUACUGCUCUAUACAUCUUAUGCAGUGCAAGAAGCUAUGAAUUAUACGGUUGUAUUUUUA